CACGUGUGUUCCGCUUUCUCACAUUCCCACGAGAAGGUUCAGCUCACCGCAGUUUAGGACCCAGCCGCAAAGCCGGGCUCAUUCUGGGGAGUGAUUUUCUUCACGGAGGCUCGAUACGCAGGCGCCGUCUGCAGGCAACAGCUUCUGCUGAAGGGCAGCCGUAUUUAGAACAGCGGAAAUGUGCAGGAGACAGGGUCUCGCUAUGUUGCCCAAGCUGGAGGAAGUGGAAUUCCUGAGAGCAGCAGAGAUCGAGCUUGGGGUUACGGUUUGCUGCGUCUGAGCAAAAGGACCUGCGAGAACAGGCCGAGCGCAGUGGCUCACGCCUGUAAUUCCAGCACUUUGGGAGGCCGAGGCGGGCAGAUCACCUGAGUUCCAGACCAGCCUGGCCAACAUGGUGAAACCCCGUCUCUACUAAAAAAUACAAAAAUUAGCCGGGCGUGGUGUCGUGCACCUGAUAUUCCAGCUGCUCCGGAGGCUGAGGCAAGAGAAUCGCUGGAACCCAGGAGGCGGAGGUUGCAGUGAGCAGAGAUGGCAGCACUGCACUCCACCCUGGGCGACAGAGCUAGACUCCAUCUUAAAAAAAAAAAAAAAAAAAAAGGACCUGCGAGAACAAAGUGUUUUCUGGUGAGGUUGUGUUUUAAGUCAACAGAGUGUGUGUAACAGCAGUAGGUUCCUUGCCCAAUGCACAUAGCAAGUCUAUAUGCAGAGACACCAGGUUGCAGCAGAGAAAGAGGUCUAAUCAUAGGGCCACCUAAGGAGGAGACAGGAAGAAGCCUCACAUCCAUCUCUGCUAGGAAUUUGGGAAUUUGGGGUUAGAGUUUGUAAGGGUAAUGGAGUUGACUGAUUGGUGGGAGAGUGCUGGUGAAAUCGUGGUACAAGGAGAUGAAGAAACUACAUUCUCAUGCUCAUCCCAUUCCUCUGUGGGGGGUCUUCAAACUGGUUGAACUCAACUGUUUCACCGGAACUCGUGGUCUGAAAAACAUCUUAAGCGAUCCUUAAACAAAAGCCUUAUGAUUCUAAUGUCAGAGAUCCUGUCUACAGGAACAACAGGGAUGCAAAUCAAUUCUUAGUCUGAUGUCUGAAAUCCUAUCUAUAGGAACAAUAGAGAUGCAAAUGUCAGUAUCUAGUGCCUUGUGACUAUUAGCAACAAGGAAGUAGGCCGAAGUGCAGCCUGAUUAAUGCUUAAUUAUAACUAUAUUUCUGUCCAGAACCUGCAUGCAAUUUUUGUGAACCCUGUUGGGGCGGUUUCAUGUGUGUGGUGAUAGGAUAAGCACAUGACCCUGGUUUUCCAGGAAGUCUUCAUUUCAAACAUGUAUGAAUCAAACCCUGCUAAACCUGUAUUUCAACACAUGAAUCAAGUCAAUGCCCAUAACAGUAUAACUAUCUGUAAAUCACAAAAGUAUGAGAACUAUCCUGUUGGGGCAACUGCUCUUGAGCAGACUAAGUUACUUUUCGCCUGUGGCUACAUAUGCAGUCCGUAAUUUGGGAUUUACCUGAAUAUACAUAUUUGUCAGAUGGUGAAUGCUUAAUAAUGAAAAUUGCCAUUCUCUGACUCACAAUAUGAGUAGAUUACAAAAAAAUAAUAAUCUGAAUUUUCUUGGAAAGAAAAUUCUGUUGUAUAAUUUUAUUAUUUAAAAUGUAGUAGCCGAGAAGCCGGGCACGGUGACUCACGCCUAUAAUCCCAGCACUUUGGGAGGCCGAGGUGGGUGGAUCGCCUAAGGUCAGGAGUUGGAGACCAGCCUGAACAACACGGUGAAACCCCAUCUCUACUAAAAAUAGAAAAACUAGCCGGGCGUGGUCGUGGGUGCCUAUAAUCCUAGCUACUCAGGAGGCUGAGGUAGGAGAAUCACUUGAACCUAGGAGGAGGAGGUUGCAGUGAGCGGAGAUUGCACCAUUGCACUCCAGCCUGGGAAACAAGAGUGAAACUCCAUCUCAAAAAAGAAAAAAAAAAAUGUAGUAGCCGAGCACAGUGGGAGGCCGAGGUGGGUAGAUUGUUGGAGCCCAAGAAUUCAAGGCCAGUCAGGGCAACCUGGUGGGACCCUGUCUCCAUAAAAAAAUACAAAAAUUAGCCUGAAAUGGUAAUGCACACCUGUCGACCCAGUUACUCGGGAGGCUGAGGUAAGAUCACUUGAGCCAGGGAGGUUGAAGCUGCAGUGAGCUGUAAUAAUACCACUGCACUCCAGCCUGGGCGACAGACUGACAUCCCAUCUCCAAAAAAAAAGUAGUAAAGUUUUCAAGUUUGAUGUUAUAAGGCAAGAACAACAAUUUCUGUCAGAUGCUCCUAUGGCCAUUUAACAGGGACAUUUGUAUUACUAAAUAAGACUUCCAACUGAGCUCCAUAGAAAGCAAGGCUACCUCUCUGCUUUAAUAUGGUAAUAUUACCACCAACUUAUUAAAUGUUCCUUCCUUGAAUAGGAAUAUAUUAAGACAAGAAAUUCUUCCUAUUUAAUUCUUGGCCUUAAAAAUUCUUUGGAUGGUACUGGCAUUUCAUUAAGCAAUUUCACUGACUGAAGCUUUUUGUGUACUGUUUAAAGAAGAUGCACAAUAUUUUCAGAAGCAGAUGUAAGGUUGUUGUACUAACUUAUUUUUAAUUUAUAAUAUUUUUGUCUGCUCUUGCUGCUAUACAUAAUCACUAGAGAAAAAAAUUGUCCUAAAAGUUUGGAUCUAGAAAUGUGACUAUGAAACAAUUUAAUUGGCUUUUUUGGGGGGUUGUUUGUUUGUUUUUUGAGAUGGAGUUUUUACUCUUGUUGCCCAGACUAGAGUGGAAUGGCGCAAUCUCUGCUCACUGGAACCUCUGCCUCCCGGGUUCAAGUGAUUCUCCUGCCUCAGCCUCCCAAGUAGCUGGGAUUACAGGCAUGCGCCACCAUGGGGGCUAAUUUUGUAUUUUAAGUAGAGACGAGGUAUCACCAUGUUGGCCAGGCUGGUCUCGAACUACUGACCUCAGGUGAUCUGCCCACCUCGGCCUCCCAGAGUGCUGGGAUUACAGGCGUGAGCCACCGCACCCUGCCAAUUGGUUUUUGAGUUAACAAAAUAAUCCCAGUUUCCAUCUGCAUCUUGACUUUCCCUGCAUAUGCACACCAAUUUCAGCAUCUUCCUUUGCACAGAAUCAAGGACAGAUUUUUUUCAGCAUGUAUGAUGUAAAAAAUACACUGAUGGCACAUCAAUUUAUUCAGCAAGUUCCAACAAACUCUUUUGUCUUCAAGCAACCAUUGGUUAUUGGUAAAUCUUGCUACAUUGGUAAUAUUCUCUGAAAAUUACAAAAUUAAAGCCUUUAUCCGAUCAGCUUUAGAAGGACGUAAUAAUUGCACCACCUUGCUUCAGUAUCUUGUAAAACAAGACAGUUUCAAAAUCUACAAUGUUCCUGCUUGCCGCCAGUAAUUUUCUUUUCUUUUCUUUUUUGAGAUGGAGUCUCGCUCUGGCCACCGCGCCUGGCCAGUAAUUGUCUAUUACAUCAUUAAUACAUUAAGCUAGAUGUGGGAGAAUCACCUGAGCCUGGGAGGUUGAGUUUGCAGGGAGCCGAGAUCAUGCCACUAUACUAAUCAAUCAUCGAUCAAUAAAAUAACAUACAUGAAGCUAUACCUGUUUUCUGAAUGUAAAACUGAAGAUGGGAACAAACUAUAGUGUGCUUGUGCUCAUAGCCUUUACUGUAUUUUUCCAUGGGAAAUUCGACGUUCGUGCGUUUCCGUUUACUGAUUUUACAUUCCACAAAUUUUUCUCAAAGUCAGAUUCACUGAGACCUAGGAAUUUUUCAUUAAGUAGGGAAAAUGGAAACCCAGUUGAAUUAAUAAUUGCUCCUCUGUAUGGUCAAACAUAAAAAGUUAAGCGUGAUUCUUCAUAUCCAAAUAUCUGGUUUUUUGUUUGUUUGUUUGUUUUUAGACGGAGUCUCGCUCUGUUGCCCAGGCUGGAGUGCAGUGGCGCG
rnacentral:lncRNA from 1 species